rnacentral:rRNA from 1 species
GGUUAAGCGACUAAGCGUACACGGUGGAUGCCCUGGCAGUCAGAGGCGAUGAAGGACGUGCUAAUCUGCGAUAAGCGUCGGUAAGGUGAUAUGAACCGUUAUAACCGGCGAUUUCCGAAUGGGGAAACCCAGUGUGAUUCGUCACACUAUCAUUAACUGAAUCCAUAGGUUAAUGAGGCGAACCGGGGGAACUGAAACAUCUAAGUACCCCGAGGAAAAGAAAUCAACCGAGAUUCCCCCAGUAGCGGCGAGCGAACGGGGAGCAGCCCAGAGCCUGAAUCAGUGUGUGUGUUAGUGGAAGCGUCUGGAAAGGCGCGCGAUACAGGGUGACAGCCCCGUACACAAAAAUGCACAUGCUGUGAGCUCGAUGAGUAGGGCGGGACACGUGGUAUCCUGUCUGAAUAUGGGGGGACCAUCCUCCAAGGCUAAAUACUCCUGACUGACCGAUAGUGAACCAGUACCGUGAGGGAAAGGCGAAAAGAACCCCGGCGAGGGGAGUGAAAAAGAACCUGAAACCGUGUACGUACAAGCAGUGGGAGCACGCUUAGGCGUGUGACUGCGUACCUUUUGUAUAAUGGGUCAGCGACUUAUAUUCUGUAGCAAGGUUAACCGAAUAGGGGAGCCGAAGGGAAACCGAGUCUUAACUGGGCGUUAAGUUGCAGGGUAUAGACCCGAAACCCGGUGAUCUAGCCAUGGGCAGGUUGAAGGUUGGGUAACACUAACUGGAGGACCGAACCGACUAAUGUUGAAAAAUUAGCGGAUGACUUGUGGCUGGGGGUGAAAGGCCAAUCAAACCGGGAGAUAGCUGGUUCUCCCCGAAAGCUAUUUAGGUAGCGCCUCGUGAAUUCAUCUCCGGGGGUAGAGCACUGUUUCGGCAAGGGGGUCAUCCCGACUUACCAACCCGAUGCAAACUGCGAAUACCGGAGAAUGUUAUCACGGGAGACACACGGCGGGUGCUAACGUCCGUCGUGAAGAGGGAAACAACCCAGACCGCCAGCUAAGGUCCCAAAGUCAUGGUUAAGUGGGAAACGAUGUGGGAAGGCCCAGACAGCCAGGAUGUUGGCUUAGAAGCAGCCAUCAUUUAAAGAAAGCGUAAUAGCUCACUGGUCGAGUCGGCCUGCGCGGAAGAUGUAACGGGGCUAAACCAUGCACCGAAGCUGCGGCAGCGACGCUUAUGCGUUGUUGGGUAGGGGAGCGUUCUGUAAGCCUGCGAAGGUGUGCUGUGAGGCAUGCUGGAGGUAUCAGAAGUGCGAAUGCUGACAUAAGUAACGAUAAAGCGGGUGAAAAGCCCGCUCGCCGGAAGACCAAGGGUUCCUGUCCAACGUUAAUCGGGGCAGGGUGAGUCGACCCCUAAGGCGAGGCCGAAAGGCGUAGUCGAUGGGAAACAGGUUAAUAUUCCUGUACUUGGUGUUACUGCGAAGGGGGGACGGAGAAGGCUAUGUUGGCCGGGCGACGGUUGUCCCGGUUUAAGCGUGUAGGCUGGUUUUCCAGGCAAAUCCGGAAAAUCAAGGCUGAGGCGUGAUGACGAGGCACUACGGUGCUGAAGCAACAAAUGCCCUGCUUCCAGGAAAAGCCUCUAAGCAUCAGGUAACAUCAAAUCGUACCCCAAACCGACACAGGUGGUCAGGUAGAGAAUACCAAGGCGCUUGAGAGAACUCGGGUGAAGGAACUAGGCAAAAUGGUGCCGUAACUUCGGGAGAAGGCACGCUGAUAUGUAGGUGAAGUCCCUCGCGGAUGGAGCUGAAAUCAGUCGAAGAUACCAGCUGGCUGCAACUGUUUAUUAAAAACACAGCACUGUGCAAACACGAAAGUGGACGUAUACGGUGUGACGCCUGCCCGGUGCCGGAAGGUUAAUUGAUGGGGUUAGCGCAAGCGAAGCUCUUGAUCGAAGCCCCGGUAAACGGCGGCCGUAACUAUAACGGUCCUAAGGUAGCGAAAUUCCUUGUCGGGUAAGUUCCGACCUGCACGAAUGGCGUAAUGAUGGCCAGGCUGUCUCCACCCGAGACUCAGUGAAAUUGAACUCGCUGUGAAGAUGCAGUGUACCCGCGGCAAGACGGAAAGACCCCGUGAACCUUUACUAUAGCUUGACACUGAACAUUGAGCCUUGAUGUGUAGGAUAGGUGGGAGGCUUUGAAGUGUGGACGCCAGUCUGCAUGGAGCCGACCUUGAAAUACCACCCUUUAAUGUUUGAUGUUCUAACGUGGACCCGUAAUCCGGGUUGCGGACAGUGUCUGGUGGGUAGUUUGACUGGGGCGGUCUCCUCCUAAAGAGUAACGGAGGAGCACGAAGGUUGGCUAAUCCUGGUCGGACAUCAGGAGGUUAGUGCAAUGGCAUAAGCCAGCUUGACUGCGAGCGUGACGGCGCGAGCAGGUGCGAAAGCAGGUCAUAGUGAUCCGGUGGUUCUGAAUGGAAGGGCCAUCGCUCAACGGAUAAAAGGUACUCCGGGGAUAACAGGCUGAUACCGCCCAAGAGUUCAUAUCGACGGCGGUGUUUGGCACCUCGAUGUCGGCUCAUCACAUCCUGGGGCUGAAGUAGGUCCCAAGGGUAUGGCUGUUCGCCAUUUAAAGUGGUACGCGAGCUGGGUUUAGAACGUCGUGAGACAGUUCGGUCCCUAUCUGCCGUGGGCGCUGGAGAAUUGAGGGGGGCUGCUCCUAGUACGAGAGGACCGGAGUGGACGCAUCACUGGUGUUCGGGUUGUCAUGCCAAUGGCACUGCCCGGUAGCUAAAUGCGGAAGAGAUAAGUGCUGAAAGCAUCUAAGCACGAAACUUGCCCCGAGAUGAGUUCUCCCUGACUCCUUGAGAGUCCUGAAGGAACGUUGAAGACGACGACGUUGAUAGGCCGGGUGUGUAAGCGCAGCGAUGCGUUGAGCUAACCGGUACUAAUGAACCGUGAGGCUUAACCUU